GAACGCUGGCGGUAGGCCUAACACCUGCAAGUCGAACGGCAGCACAGUAAGAGCUUGCUCUUACGGGUGGCGAGUGGCGGACGGGUGAGGAAUACAUCGGAAUCUACUUUUUCGUGGGGGAUAACGUAGGGAAACUUACGCUAAUACCGCAUACGACCUACGGGUGAAAGCAGGGGAGCUUCGGACCUUGCGCGAUUGAAUGAGCCGAUGUCGGAUUAGCUAGUUGGCGGGGUAAAGGCCCACCAAGGCGACGAUCCGUAGCUGGUCUGAGAGGAUGAUCAGCCACACUGGAACUGAGACACGGUCCAGACUCCUACGGGAGGCAGCAGUGGGGAAUAUUGGACAAUGGGCGCAAGCCUGAUCCAGCCAUACCGCGUGGGUGAAGAAGGCCUUCGGGUUGUAAAGCCCUUUUGUUGGGAAAGAAAAGCAGCAGGUUAAUACCCCGCUGUUCUGACGGUACCCAAAGAAUAAGCACCGGCUAACUUCGUG
rnacentral:rRNA from 1 species